rnacentral:rRNA from 1 species
UACGGGGGGGGCAAGCGUUGUUCGGAAUUACUGGGCGUAAAGGGCCAGUAGGCGGCCAACUAAGUCGGAUGUGAAAUCCCCAGGCUCAACUUGGGAACUGCAUCCGAUACUGGAUGGCUUGAAUUCGGGAGAGGGAUGCAGAAUUCCAGGUGUAGCGGUGAAAUGCGUAGAUAUUGGGAAGAACACCGGUGGCGAAGGCGGCGACCUGGUCCGUGACUGACGCUGAGGCGCGAAAGCGUGGGAGCAAACAGG